AGAAUGAACGCUAGCGAUAUGCUUAACACAUGCAAGUUGAACGUUGUUUUCGAAUCAGAAUGAGAACAAAGUAGCGAACGGGUGCGUAACACGUGGGAAUCUGCCGAACAGUUUGGGCCAAAUCCCGAAUGAAUAAAAGCUAAAAAGCGCUGUUUGAUGAGCCCACGUAGUAUUAGGUAGUUGGUUAGGUAAAAGCUGACCAAGCCUACGAUGCUUAGCUGGUCUUUUCGGAUGAUCAGCCACACUGGGACUGAGACACGGCCCAGACUCCUACGGGAGGCAGCAGUGGGGAAUCUUGGACAAUGGGCGAAAGCCUGAUCCGGCAAUAUGGCGUGAGUGAAGAAGGGCAACGCAGCUUGUAAAGCUCUUUCAUCGAGUGUGCGAUUGUGACAAGACUCGAAUAAGAAGCCCCGGCUAACUCCGUGCCCAGCAGCCGC
rnacentral:rRNA from 1 species